CAGUGAACGAAUGAAAAUUUAGGCGGUUCAUCAUGUAGCAAUGCUUUCGUUUUGUCACACGAGAACAUGCUUCUGUUCAUGACAGAAACUCGAAGAAAAGGAUGUGCAGGCGCACUGAUUAUGCAAGCAUGGCCAGAUCAUUUGCGCUGGAUAUGCGAUAAAUACAACUAUUUUCAGUCCAGAGGAAUCGCCACCCUUUAGUCUUCUUCAGUUCGAGAGCUUGUGUGAAAAGACACUUGUUCUCUGGCAUGAGAUGAUCAUUCACAAAAAAAGCUAAUUGGUCCGCUCUUUCAUUACCUGGAAUACCAACGUGGCUCGGGACCCAGCAGAUGCGUAUGGUGUGGUCUUCAGGAUCUGGAAUACGCCGCGUGGUCCCGGUCGCAGUUCGCGCAGUGGACUUUGGCGUUGCAGUCAUCGUCUGUGGAGUGUCUCGCGGUACCGCACCGUGCGCAGG
rnacentral:lncRNA from 1 species